rnacentral:rRNA from 8 species
GAGUAAUGUCUGGGAAACUGCCUGAUGGAGGGGGAUAACUACUGGAAACGGUGGCUAAUACCGCAUAACGUCGCAAGACCAAAGAGGGGGACCUUCGGGCCUCUUGCCAUCAGAUGUGCCCAGAUGGGAUUAGCUUGUUGGUGAGGUAACGGCUCACCAAGGCGACGAUCCCUAGCUGGUCUGAGAGGAUGACCAGCCACACUGGAACUGAGACACGGUCCAGACUCCUACGGGAGGCAGCAGUGGGGAAUAUUGCACAAUGGGCGCAAGCCUGAUGCAGCCAUGCCGCGUGUAUGAAGAAGGCCUUCGGGUUGUAAAGUACUUUCAGCGGGGAGGAAGGUGUUGUGGUUAAUAACCGCAGCAAUUGACGUUACCCGCAGAAGAAGCACCGGCUAACUCCGUGCCAGCAGCCGCGGUAAUACGGAGGGUGCAAGCGUUAAUCGGAAUUACUGGGCGUAAAGCGCACGCAGGCGGUCUGUCAAGUCGGAUGUGAAAUCCCCGGGCUCAACCUGGGAACUGCAUUCGAAACUGGCAGGCUUGAGUCUUGUAGAGGGGGGUAGAAUUCCAGGUGUAGCGGUGAAAUGCGUAGAGAUCUGGAGGAAUACCGGUGGCGAAGGCGGCCCCCUGGACAAAGACUGACGCUCAGGUGCGAAAGCGUGGGGAGCAAACAGGAUUAGAUACCCUGGUAGUCCACGCCGUAAACGAUGUCUACUUGGAGGUUGUGCCCUUGAGGCGUGGCUUCCGGAGCUAACGCGUUAAGUAGACCGCCUGGGGAGUACGGCCGCAAGGUUAAAACUCAAAUGAAUUGACGGGGGCCCGCACAAGCGGUGGAGCAUGUGGUUUAAUUCGAUGCAACGCGAAGAACCUUACCUGGUCUUGACAUCCACAGAAGAAUCCAGAGAUGGAUUUGUGCCUUCGGGAACUGUGAGACAGGUGCUGCAUGGCUGUCGUCAGCUCGUGUUGUGAAAUGUUGGGUUAAGUCCCGCAACGAGCGCAACCCUUAUCCUUUGUUGCCAGCGGUUAGGCCGGGAACUCAAAGGAGACUGCCAGUGAUAAACUGGAGGAAGGUGGGGAUGACGUCAAGUCAUCAUGGCCCUUACGACCAGGGCUACACACGUGCUACAAUGGCGCAUACAAAGAGAAGCGACCUCGCGAGAGCAAGCGGACCUCAUAAAGUGCGUCGUAGUCCGGAUUGGAGUCUGCAACUCGACUCCAUGAAGUCGGAAUCGCUAGUAAUCGUGGAUCAGAAUGCCACGGUGAAUACGUUCCCGGGCCUUGUACACACCGCCCGUCACACCAUGGGAGUGGGUUGCAAAAGAAGUAGGUAGCUUAACCUUCGGGAGGGCGCUUACCACUUUGUGAUUCAUGACUGGGGUGAAGUCGUAACAAGGUAACCGUAGGGGAACCUGCGGUUGGAUCACCUCCUUACCUUAAAGAA